rnacentral:rRNA from 1 species
UACGAGGGGGGCAAGUGUUGUUCGGAAUUACUGGGCGUAAAGCGCACGUAGGCGGCUACUCAAGUCAGAGGUGAAAGCCCGGGGCUCAACCCCGGAACUGCCUUUGAAACUAGGUAGCUAGAAUCCUGGAGAGGUCAGUGGAAUUCCGAGUGUAGAGGUGAAAUUCGUAGAUAUUCGGAAGAACACCAGUGGCGAAGGCGACUGACUGGACAGGUAUUGACGCUGAGGUGCGAAAGCGUGGGGAGCAAACAGG